UUAAGGAAACCAUACUUCAUCUUAUUGACAAUCACCAAAUAGUCGAAAUAAAAUGUAUUUAUAUAGAGGAGUCUGUAUCAAAAACAGUAAACUGUAAAAAGAUUAAUUCCGGAAAUAUGCAGGGAACAAGGCAGGACAAUUUCGGAGAGGCAGAGAAGAAAGAGAAAAUCAAUAUCUCAAAAUCAAACGUCCCACCAAAAGAGAUGACCACGACUGUCCAUGUAAUGAGGAUACUGAGGAACCGGAACUCAACGAACUUGUCAGCCUUCUUUCGGGAAUAGUGGGAAAAAAUACAAAAAAUGAAAGAAUGUGCCUGAAACUAGCAAGUGGAACCACGCACUGUGUACAAAGGCUGAAACCAAACUUACUGACCAGGACUGACUGAUACUUUCAGCUCGUCGUCGAUGAAUUUUACAUCCUGACAACGAUAAUUCCUAUAGAGAAUGAGAAUGAACACGAAAGACGAAGUUGAAAACACGGUU